GAUUGAACGCUGGCGGCAUGCCUAACACAUGCAAGUCGAACGGGAGUAGCAAUACUCUAGUGGCGGACGGGUGAGGAAUACGUAGGAAUUUGCCCUUAAGUGGGGGAUAACCCGGGGAAACCCGGAUUAAUACCGCAUGACCUCGAAAGAGCAAAGUGGGGGAUCGCAAGACCUCACGCUUUUGGAGAAGCCUACGUCGGAUUAGCUAGUUGGUGAGGUAAGUCGC
rnacentral:rRNA from 1 species